AUUGAACGCUGGCGGCAGGCUUAACACAUGCAAGUCGAGCGGGGGAAGGUAGCUUGCUACCGGACCUAGCGGCGGACGGGUGAGUAAUGCUGAGUAAUCCGCCUAUUAGUGGGGGACAACAUCUCGAAAGGGAUGCUAAUACCGCAUACGUCCUAUGGGAGAAAGCAGGGGAUCUUCGGACCUUGGGGUAAUAGAUGAGCCUAAGUCGGAUUAGCUAGUUGGUGGGGUAAAGGCCUACCAAGGCGACGAUCUGUAGCGGGUCUGAGAGGAUGAUCCGCCACACUGGGACUGAAACACGGCCCAGACUCCUACGGGAGGCAGCAGUGGGGAAUAUUGGACAAUGGGGGGAACCCUGAUCCAGCCAUGCCGCAUGUGUGAAGAAGGCCUUAUGGUUGUAAAGCACUUUAAGCGAGGAGGAGGCUACUUUAGUUAAUACCUAGAGAUAGUGGACGUUACUCGCAGAAUAAGCACCGGCUAACUCUGUGCCAGCAGCCGCAGUAA
rnacentral:rRNA from 1 species